GUUUUGUGUUGAACAGGCAAAGUAUCACCGCUCCGUAUUUUAAACUGCUAACUACACACCUAUACUUCAGGAACUAUUACUACUAUGUGGAUGUAAGCAAAGUGUUCUCAUUCCCUCUUGGAUGUGUGCAGCCAGUGAGGUACGUUUUGUUUAAGGGCUUGUUAUAUCUGCUCGACGGCACGGACAGCUAACUGGGAUAGCGAGUGGAGCUAGCGGCUGCCGGAUGGAGCAGCCAGUCAGCCAGCUUGCUAACUACACACCGGUGCUUACGUCCACAUGUACUCAACGAAGUGGAAACGCCUUUGACGAUGCCACGUGCAAAGUCAUGCCACCAUCAAUGGGAAUGGCACAUUGGACACGUGGCUUUCAACUCCAGCGAGGUGGCGGCACGGAUCUCUGCAUGUCUGACUGACAUCUCCCAGUGGAUGUCCGCCCAUCACCUGAAGAUCAACCCCGACAAGACUGAACUACUUCUCUUCCCUGGAAAAAACUCGCCCACUCAGGACCUGACUGUUAACUUUGGCGAACACCGUUAACAUCAGGAGAAUACGACCCCUUCUCACUCAGAAGGCGGCGCAGGUACAGAUUCAGGCUCUUGUCAUCUCUCGCCUCGACUACUGUAACUCUCUGCUGGCGGGUCUCCCUGCUACCGCCAUACGACCACUGCAGCUCAUCCAGAAUGCAGCAGCUCGACUGGUCUUCAACCUUCUGAAAUACUCCCACACCACACCGCUUCUCCGUUCUCUUCAUUGGUUACUAGUGGCUCCCCGCAUCCAGUUCAAAGCAUUGGUACUGACGUACCACGCUGUGAAUGGAUCGGGACCAGUCUACAUCCGGGACAUGGUUAAACCCUACAUCCCAACCCAGACACUCCGAUCUGCAUCUGCCACGCUGCUUGUUCCUCCCUCACUGAGAGAAAAGCACUCGACGAGAUCGCGACUCUUUGCUGUCCUGGCUCCCAGAUGGUGGAACGAGCUCUCUGAUGACAUCAGGACUGCAGAGAGCCUCUCCAUCUUCCGUCGAAAACUCAAGACACACCUUUUUAGACUCUACCUUGACUAAAACACUAGCAAACCGUAGCACUAACAAAUGGUAGCACUUAAAUUGUACUUAUAAUGCCACUUAUCUUUAACAUGUUUUGAAACUGCUUAGUUAAUGAAAAAUGUACUUUCUUGUUACUUGUUCUUCUGAGUUUGUAUCUCUAUGUGGAAAUGCACUUAUUGUACGUCGCUUUGGAUAAAAGCGUCAGCUAAAUGACAUGUAAUGUAAAAGCCUUCUUCCUGUGUUCUUACAACAGCAUUCCAUUACAUAUCGAUGUAAUAAUUUGGCCUUCUUUUUUUCUUCCAGCACACGGCACAGGUUGGCGUCACAAUCAUGGCAAAGUUGACUGGACCACAGCGGAAAAUUAUCCUUCCAGAGAAGAAGUUAUUUACUUCUACAACGAAUGGAAGAGUUACAACUUCCAGAUGACAGCUCUCCGCUCAUCCUUCUGGGCAACUUGAACAUCCGACAGAACUUAUGUGACCUACUGCGUUUAUUUUCUCCUUUAGCUCUCAUUUAAGUAUUAAAAUUCGCUGUAUUUUUGCAAGAGAGGCACCAAUCCUAUUUGAGUGACGUUUCGAAUGUGAAAUUGUAUUGGACCAUAUAGGUCAUCUGCAGAGCGUUGGCCCCUGGCGCAGUAAACCAGGGUUUGAUUCUUGGCAUGCACAAGACUCCUCAUGUGACUUAAAAUGAAUCCAGAAUGCAAUAUUUGUUCAGUAUGCAAGGGCAGUGAUUUAUUUAGUCAUGUUUGGUCAUGUUUUGGUUUUUUUACAUGACAAUAUGGUUUGGUACAUGCUGAGUUAAUGAAUAUACAUUCUAAAGUGCAAUGUCCAUAUGUGAAUAAGAGUUGUAUACGUUUAUCAUAGUCAACAUGGUGUGGAAAUAUCCCUUAUGUAGUUGGUCAAUGGGAACUAUA